GAUGAACGCUGGCGGCGUGCCUAAUACAUGCAAGUCGAACGCGCAGCGAAAGGUGCUUGCACCUUUCAAGCGAGUGGCGAACGGGUGAGUAACACGUGGAUAACCUGCCUCAAGGCUGGGGAUAACAUUUGGAAACAGAUGCUAAUACCGAAUAAAACUUAGUAUCGCAUGAUACAAAGUUAAAAGGCGCUACGGCGUCACCUAGAGAUGGAUCCGCGGUGCAUUAGUUAGUUGGUGGGGUAAAGGCUUACCAAGACGAUGAUGCAUAGCCGAGUUGAGAGACUGAUCGGCCACAGUGGGACUGAGACACGGCCCAAACUCCUACGGGAGGCUGCAGUAGGGAAUCUUCCACAAUGGGCGCAAGCCUGAUGGAGCAACGCCGCGUGUGUGAUGAAGGCUUUCGGGUCGUAAAGCACUGUUGUAUGGGAAGAAAUGCUAAAAUAGGGAAUGAUUAUAGUUUGACGGUACCAUACCAGAAAGGGACGGCUAAAUACGUGCCAGCCGCCGCCGUAA
rnacentral:rRNA from 1 species